UCACAAGUUCAUUUUAAAGAGAGAUAGGAUUAGCUUACAAACAAGGAACUAGCGCUAGUUCCUUGAGCCUCCUUUGCAACCGGUCAUGCUCUUUUGAUGGACUGGAGAUGUUGAAUCGUCACCCAACAGCCCCUCCUGGUGUUCAUGACCGCUACUUGAACUUUCACCUCCAAAGGUUCCUCCUUUCACCAUCUCUUUAACUCGCC
rnacentral:lncRNA from 1 species